rnacentral:lncRNA from 1 species
UAUUUGCUCAUUUAGAUUUAUAUUCGCAUCAACAUGUAAGUGAUAAAGACUGUCAAUUAAAAGAUCACAUGCAAUCAAUUUAUUUCAUAAAUAAAUAAAAUAAAAUUUUUAUUAAAAUUAAAAUCAAAACCAUCCUAUGCUAGCAUAGACACGAAAAUCAAAUUCUGACUAGUUAUAGGAACAAAAUAACAGUCUUUUAAAUCUAAUCUAAACCCUGAUAAUAAUCGAAGAGGAUAAGUGCCAAUGGCUUCUGUAGUAACUUUUGCUUCAUUAUUGGCCCAAAGGAUCAUGUCACCUUCCUUCAGUCUUCUACUUUCUAUUAGACCCUGUAUUGAAGUACAUAUAUGAGUACUCGAACCAGAGUCCAAUACCCAACUAGAAGUAGAAGAAACUAUAAGGUUAGAUUCAAUUAUGAGCAUACCUUCUGAAGGUUUGUCACCUUUUUUGAUCUUCAGGCUCUCCACAAGUACUUUCGGUUAAUUUCGUAUCUGGAUCUCUUUUGACCCACGAUACUCACUAUUUGCUCAUUUAGAUUUACAUUCGCAUCAAUAUGUAAGUGAUAAAGACUGUCAAUUAAAAGAUCACAUGCAAUCAAUUUAUUUCAUAAAUAAAUGAAAUAAAAAUUUUUAUUAAAAUUAAAAUCAAAACCAUCCUAUGCUAGCAUAGACAUGAAAAUUAAAUUCUGACUAGUUAUAGGAACAAAAUAAUAAUCUUUUAAAUCUAAUCUAAACCCU